rnacentral:rRNA from 1 species
AACGAACGCUGGCGGCAUGCCUAACACAUGCAAGUCGAACGAGACCUUCGGGUCUAGUGGCGCACGGGUGCGUAACGCGUGGUAACCUGCCCUUAGGUUCGGAAUAACUCCCCGAAAGGGGUGCUAAUACCGGAUAAUGUCUUCGGACCAAAGAUUUAUCGCCUUUGGAUGGGCCCGCGUUGGAUUAGCUAGUUGGUAGGGUAAAAGCCUACCAAGGCGACGAUCCAUAGCUGGUCUGAGAGGAUGAUCAGCCACACUGGGACUGAGACACGGCCCAGACUCCUACGGGAGGCAGCAGUGGGGAAUAUUGGACAAUGGGCGAAAGCCUGAUCCAGCAAUGCCGCGUGAGUGAUGAAGGCCUUAGGGUUGUAAAGCUCUUUUAGCCGGGAUGAUAAUGACAGUACCGGGAGAAUAAGCCCCGGCUAACUCCGUG